UAAUACCUAUUUCAAUUAAUUUUACUUCGAUUAAUUAUCACUUCUGUACACAACUACAUAGACCAAGGGUAUUUCUUAAGUUUUUAACCUACAUUUUCUAUUAUUAUACAUACCUCAUUAUAUGACCUAUUUCCGUUAAAUGGGGAUAAAGCGAUACGUGCCUGAGCACGGACGCGUCCCGAGUAGAUAAGACACGAGAUAGCCAGCUGGUAAAAGUUCUCAACUUUGCCUGGAACACUGUCACUUUACUUAUUUUCCGAGCCCACUACUUUGUAAGAGAAUGUCCAUUUAUAAAUUUAUGGCCUUUCCGACCGGCGGAGCGCUUUUCUUGAUUGUAACUUCAUAGGACAUAGUUAGCUUAAACUUUAAGAUAAUGAGUAUUAUAGAGUUCAGUUUUAAGUUUUUUUUUUGUAAUUAAUUAAAUGCUCCUAUUUUACCCAAUACGAAUUUAAUGAAUAAAUGUGUUCUCUUGUUUUAUGAAAUAAAUUAUUUAUUUAAUUAACUAUUAGGUUAAGAUUCCGCCAGAGUUUUGCGAUGAUGCGUAGCAAGGGAUGUGUUUUUUUAGAAACCAAUGGAAUCACUUCAUUUGUUUUCCUCGCUCAGCUUGUAGUGAGUUCCAUUGGUUCUUACGAAACACAUCCCUCGCUACGCAUCCUCGUUCAUCUCUGGUUGAAACGCGGCCUUAAGAACUUUGAAAUCGAAAAUGCAGCUUGCACAAUCUAUAGGUACCUAUAUACAAUGUGUACGUCCUACCAUUUAGACAUGAGAUAAAUUCUUGUGACACAAGUUACUGAACAAACUUUUUCAGAUAUAAUCUGAUUCGAUGGUUCAAAAUACAUUACACAUUUAUUUAGAAGACGUCACAUGUUAUGAACAAAUAAAACUUUUACGACUAGGUAUCGUAUAAAAGUUGUACAGCUUGUAUGGUUAGAAAAAAACAGAUUCAUUUAGUAGCUACAGUUUAAGUUACGGGUCAAACUUUUGCUGAGAUCAACUUGUAAUAAGGCAAAAAAUGUAACCCUUGAAUGGCGAUUUUAGACGGUUCAGGGGUCGGAUAGCAGUAUUUCCUUUAUUUAAUUAUCGAGUUAAGGUCAAUACGGGUAAAUAUAUUAGUUGGUGUUAAUGUAACUUAUAUAUAGGUACUUCCGUCGUUGAUUAUUGUAAUAUCGAACUCACAAAAACAUACUAGUUAACACACACACACAAACAGUAAUAUAUUAUAAAAUUUAUAAAGUUGUGUUAUAAUGAUUAUCUAGUCAUUUUAGGUAGUUUAAAUCCUUUUAAGUAAAAUAAACGAUUGAUUUAUUGACAAUAACAAUAUACAUAAUGGAUAUAUACAGAUGAUUACUAUAACUAGCUUAUAUCUAAAAUAGGCCCUUGAGGCAUUGUACCAAGGAUGCUGGCGGCAUUUCCUCGUUGUAUCGCAAUACUGAUACGUUGUGCGAGGAAGCCGCCAGUAAAAUUAAAAUUGUAAAAAAUAACGAUAGUUUAUCAAUAUGUCUUUAUCGACAUGGCCACAGCACCUGGUUCCGCUUUGAUAAUCGUACAUAAAAAUGUGGAUAUGUGUGUGUGAAGCUACAGUGAUCCAGCUGGCUUAUACUCCCUCUUUAGGAAUAUUAUAUAUAUGGUAAAGACAGUAUUUGUUCAACACAAUUUAUUUCCUUUAUCUGCCAUACCUAGUUAUCGUAGAUCAAACGAAUAUUUCUGCAUAUCUGGCUAAAUGUAAAUAUAUUAUUUAUUUAUUUCUUUUUAGAGUUCCGUAGCCAAAUGGCUAAAAACGGAACCCUUACAGAUUCAUCAUGUCUGUCUGUCCGUUUAUGUCACUUAUUAUGCGGAAUCUUAACCUAAUAUAGGGACUUUUUUCCUAAACUAUAAGAAGUAUACUGUUCAAACUUGGUAAGUAGAUGUAUUCUAUGAACCGCAUUAAGAUUUUUUCACAAAAAUAGAAAAAAUAAUAAUUUUAGAACUGAAUCAUACUUAGAACUGAAUCUCAAAAAAAAAUUCAUCAAACCCAUACGUGUGGGGUGUCUAUGGAUAGAUCUUCAAAAAUGAUAUUGAGGUUUCUAAUAUAUUUUUUUUCUAAACUGAAUAGUUUGCGCGAGAGACACUUCCAAAGUGGUAAAAUGUGUCCCCCCCCCCCCCCUGUAACUUCUAAAAUAAGAGAAUGAUAAACCUAAAAAAAUAUAUGAUGUACAUUACCAUGCAAACUUUCAACGAAAAUUGGUUUGAACGAGAUCUAGUAAGUAGUUUUUUUUUAAUACGUCAUAAA